rnacentral:rRNA from 1 species
AUAUGGUCAAGUGAAGAAGCGCAUACGGUGGAUGCCUUGGCAGUCAGAGGCGAUGAAAGACGUGGUAGCCUGCGAAAAGCUUCGGGGAGUCGGCAAACAGACUUUGAUCCGGAGAUGUCUGAAUGGGGGAACCCAGCCAUCAUAAGAUGGUUAUCUUACGCUGAAUACAUAGGCGUAAGAGGCGAACCAGGGGAACUGAAACAUCUAAGUACCCUGAGGAAAAGAAAUCAACCGAGAUUCCCUUAGUAGUGGCGAGCGAACGGGGACUAGCCCUUAAGUGGCUUUGAGAUUAGCGGAACGCUCUGGAAAGUGCGGCCAUAGUGGGUGAUAGCCCUGUACGCGAAAAUCUCUUAGUCAUGAAAUCGAGUAGGACGGAGCACGAGAAACUUUGUCUGAAUAUGGGGGGACCAUCCUCCAAGGCUAAAUACUACUGACUGACCGAUAGUGAACUAGUACCGUGAGGGAAAGGCGAAAAGAACCCCGGAGAGGGGAGUGAAAUAGAUCCUGAAACCGUAUGCGUACAAGCAGUGGGAGCCCACUUUGUUGGGUGACUGCGUACCUUUUGUAUAAUGGGUCAGCGACUUAUUUUCAGUGGCGAGCUUAACCGAAUAGGGGAGGCGUAGCGAAAGCGAGUCUUAAUAGGGCGUCUAGUCGCUGGGAAUAGACCCGAAACCGGGCGAUCUAUCCAUGGGCAGGUUGAAGGUUGGGUAACACUAACUGGAGGACCGAACCGACUACCGUUGAAAAGUUAGCGGAUGACCUGUGGAUCGGAGUGAAAGGCUAAUCAAGCUCGGAGAUAGCUGGUUCUCCUCGAAAGCUAUUUAGGUAGCGCCUCAUGUAUCACUGUAGGGGGUAGAGCACUGUUUCGGCUAGGGGGUCAUCCCGACUUACCAAACCGAUGCAAACUCCGAAUACCUACAAGUGCCGAGCAUGGGAGACACACGGCGGGUGCUAACGUCCGUCGUGAAAAGGGAAACAACCCAGACCGUCAGCUAAGGUCCCAAAGUUAUGGUUAAGUGGGAAACGAUGUGGGAAGGCUUAGACAGCUAGGAGGUUGGCUUAGAAGCAGCCACCCUUUAAAGAAAGCGUAAUAGCUCACUAGUCGAGUCGGCCUGCGCGGAAGAUGUAACGGGGCUCAAACCAUACACCGAAGCUACGGGUAUCACGUAAGUGAUGCGGUAGAGGAGCGUUCUGUAAGCCUGUGAAGGUGAGUUGAGAAGCUUGCUGGAGGUAUCAGAAGUGCGAAUGCUGACAUGAGUAACGACAAUGGGUGUGAAAAACACCCACGCCGAAAGACCAAGGUUUCCUGCGCAACGUUAAUCGACGCAGGGUUAGUCGGUCCCUAAGGCGAGGCUGAAAAGCGUAGUCGAUGGAAAACAGGUUAAUAUUCCUGUACUUCUGGUUAUUGCGAUGGAGGGACGGAGAAGGCUAGGCCAGCUUGGCGUUGGUUGUCCAAGUUUAAGGUGGUAGGCUGGAAUCUUAGGUAAAUCCGGGAUUCUAAGGCCGAGAGCUGAUGACGAGCUAACUUUUAGUUAGCGAAGUGGUUGAUGCCAUGCUUCCAAGAAAAGCUUCUAAGCUUCAGGUAACCAGGAACCGUACCCCAAACCGACACAGGUGGUUGGGUAGAGAAUACCAAGGCGCUUGAGAGAACUCGGGUGAAGGAACUAGGCAAAAUGGCACCGUAACUUCGGGAGAAGGUGCGCCGGUGAGGGUGAAGGACUUGCUCCGUAAGCUCAUGCCGGUCGAAGAUACCAGGCCGCUGCGACUGUUUAUUAAAAACACAGCACUCUGCAAACACGAAAGUGGACGUAUAGGGUGUGACGCCUGCCCGGUGCCGGAAGGUUAAUUGAUGGGGUUAGCUAACGCGAAGCUCUUGAUCGAAGCCCCGGUAAACGGCGGCCGUAACUAUAACGGUCCUAAGGUAGCGAAAUUCCUUGUCGGGUAAGUUCCGACCUGCACGAAUGGCGUAACGAUGGCGGCGCUGUCUCCACCCGAGACUCAGUGAAAUUGAAAUCGCUGUGAAGAUGCAGUGUAUCCGCGGCUAGACGGAAAGACCCCGUGAACCUUUACUAUAGCUUUGCACUGGACUUUGAAUUUGCUUGUGUAGGAUAGGUGGGAGGCUUUGAAGCGUGGACGCCAGUCUGCGUGGAGCCAACCUUGAAAUACCACCCUGGCAACUUUGAGGUUCUAACUCAGGUCCGUUAUCCGGAUCGAGGACAGUGUAUGGUGGGUAGUUUGACUGGGGCGGUCUCCUCCUAAAGAGUAACGGAGGAGUACGAAGGUGCGCUCAGACCGGUCGGAAAUCGGUCGUAGAGUAUAAAGGCAAAAGCGCGCUUGACUGCGAGACAGACACGUCGAGCAGGUACGAAAGUAGGUCUUAGUGAUCCGGUGGUUCUGUAUGGAAGGGCCAUCGCUCAACGGAUAAAAGGUACUCCGGGGAUAACAGGCUGAUACCGCCCAAGAGUUCAUAUCGACGGCGGUGUUUGGCACCUCGAUGUCGGCUCAUCACAUCCUGGGGCUGAAGCCGGUCCCAAGGGUAUGGCUGUUCGCCAUUUAAAGUGGUACGCGAGCUGGGUUUAGAACGUCGUGAGACAGUUCGGUCCCUAUCUGCCGUGGACGUUUGAGAUUUGAGAGGGGCUGCUCCUAGUACGAGAGGACCGGAGUGGACGAACCUCUGGUGUUCCGGUUGUCACGCCAGUGGCAUUGCCGGGUAGCUAUGUUCGGAAUAGAUAACCGCUGAAAGCAUCUAAGCGGGAAACUAGCCUCAAGAUGAGAUCUCACUGGAACCUUGAGUUCCCUGAAGGGCCGUCGAAGACUACGACGUUGAUAGGUUGGGUGUGUAAGCGCUGUGAGGCAUUGAGCUAACCAAUACUAAUUGCCCGUGAGGCUUGACCAU